rnacentral:rRNA from 1 species
AUGCGUCCGGCCGGCGGCAGCCUCCCGGCCCAGCCGGGCACGCCGGGCCGCCCGCGCCGCCGCCCGGAUCUCACCCUCCCGAUGCCGCAGCGCCCGGACGUCUCCUCCUCGCUCGCCGUCCCGCUCCCGCUCCCGCCCCCGACCGCCGCUCCCCCCACCGGCGCCGGCCCCGCCCAGCCGCUCGUGGCGCCGCCCGCGGCCGCCCCGCCCCCGCCCCCGCUCCACGAGCUGGAGCGCGUGCGCCGGGUCGGCAGCGGCGCGGGCGGCACCGUGUGGAUGGUGCGGCACCGCGCCACGGGCCGCUGCUACGCGCUCAAGGUGCUCUACGGGAACCACGACGACGCGGUGCGGCGCCAGAUCGCGCGGGAGAUCGCCAUCCUGCGCACCGCCGAGCACCCGGCCGUCGUGCGCUGCCACGGCAUGUACGAGCGCGGCGGCGAGCUGCAGAUCCUGCUCGAGUACAUGGACGGCGGCUCCCUCGACGGCCGCCGCAUCGCCGACGAGCCCUUCCUGGCGCACGUGGCGCGCCAGGUGCUCUCCGGCAUCGCGUACCUCCACCGCCGCCACAUCGUGCACCGCGACAUCAAGCCCUCCAACCUGCUCAUCGACUCGGCGCGCCGCGUCAAGAUCGCCGACUUCGGGGUGGGCCGCAUCCUGAACCAGACCAUGGACCCCUGCAACUCCUCCGUCGGCACCAUCGCCUACAUGAGCCCCGAGCGCAUCAACACCGACAUCAACGACGGCGCCUACGACGGCUACGCCGGCGACAUCUGGAGCUUCGGCCUCAGCAUCCUCGAGUUCUACCUCGGCAGGUUCCCCUUCGGCGAGAACCUCGGCCGCCAGGGCGACUGGGCCGCGCUCAUGGUCGCCAUCUGCUACUCCGACCCGCCCGAGCCGUCCCCCGCCACUGCCUCGCCCGAGUUCCGGGGCUUCAUCGCCUGCUGCCUGCAGAAGAACCCCGCCAACCGCCUCUCCGCCGCGCAGCUGCUGCAGCACCCCUUCGUCGCCUUGCCGCAGCCGCAGCCGCUCGCCGCCCCGCCGUCAUCGUGA